UAUAUGGCUUUAGGUACUGUUGGUGGUGCCUCUCCAAAGUGUUGUGAUCUGGUACUAUAUAUGACUCAAUAGAGAGCUAUUUGGGGUUAUGAUUCAGUUUUCACGUGAGUACAUUUGUUGAUCUUAGGCAUAUAAUUUCCUUGUGUUGGUUAAAGUGUGUUUCUAAACCAUCAUUUUGGUUAGAUCGAGGGACUGGAUUUACUGCUAGGGACUGGAUUUACUGCUAUCAGCUACAGUAUUAACUUUAGAAGAGUUCUUUUUAAUUGUAGUUUUUAGCUGAGACUUGCAAGACUACACCAGAAACUAGAAUAAUAUACUAUCGGUUCCUCCUGUACACCAACAUAUGUUUCAACUCUGAACUUGGUACCCAUCAAGGCUGUAAAAUCUUUGGUCCCUGCUUAUUGUUUCGCCAUGAAAGAAUUAUUGUAGGUAAAAGUCAAUCGCUUCUACACCUGACCACUGAUUACUUGUAGAUAAACUUGCUCUGCUUCCCUAUAUAUAUAUAUAUAUAUAUACUGGUCAUAAGAAGUUAUAGUGAAGUCACUCGAUGUACUUUAGGAGUCUUGUGAAUUUGAAAUACAUAAUGUUUAUUGACUUUAAAAACUUUUUAUUUUUUCCUUAAUGCUCUCUUUGUUUCUUGUUCUCAAACUUGGAGGUUACAAAUGUACUUAGACCAUGAAACAUGUUCUCUAUAUUUUUAGUGUCGCUUUCCAACAUUUUAGUGUCCAUAUUUUUAUUGUCUUCAGUAACUGAUCAUAUAUCUUCAUGGAGUAGGAAUAAUGGUAGUCAGUAGUCUAUAUUUUGCCAUUGAAAUCUGAGGUGGUAGUCAGAUUAUUGAAACUGAAUUCAGUGAGCUUCCUAAAAAUCUUCACGCCUUGCUAUACUACUGCUGCAGUUUUCAAUGCAGUGCCCAACAAACCAAAUAUCUUCAUUGGGCGCGAGCAAAUAUUCUUCAACUUAGUGUUUUUAGUGCUGCUUUCAAACCGGCAUAUAUGGUGAAAAUCUCAACUUUAUUUUGUUGUUUUUAUCCUAUCCUAUUGCUAUGCUGCAUGUGAGAGGACGUUAAUAUGCUACAUUUACCCACCAACUAUUUUUUGGACAUGUAUUGAUCAUGCUUGCAUAUUUAAAUUAUAGUUUAUGAAUUUAUACAUGUCUUAAGUUGACAUAGAUAAACAGAAGAACAUCGGCUACUUAAAUGCAAAUCAGAGAAAGCAUUAUCAGCCAUCAGCUACUUAAAAAGCAUAUCAGAUAAAUGUCGCAGCUCAUAAAAUGCGAUUAAAAAGGUUGCCUCUUUGAAAACCAUGAUCAGAUACUAACUAAUUUAUGACUGUCAAAUACCUACUCUUUUAUGCCAUAAGUAUCUGUCAUAUGUAUGCAUACUCUUUUUUAUGCAAAGUUCACCAAUGUCUCCAAUUUUACAAAAACAUUCCGAAAUAAUUAGUGCACGCAACAUUGUAGUGUUAUUCUGCUACAUGCUACUUUUCAGAUUCUUGUCCAGUACAAAGUGUAUGAAAAUCUAAUCAGUAUUCUGCUACUCCUACAUAUUGUCCUUGUAGUUCUAGCAGCCUUUUUUCUUAUAAUGCUUUGUUAAAUUGAGUGAUUAAAUUAUAGUAUAAGUUUCUUUGCACUGCUUCUCAAGAGGCUAUCAUUUCUAUUUAUCGCUUGAAAUAGGGUUCCUGUUUGACUUUUCAAGAUGUGUGUUUCUUUCGGCUGCUAAUUAUAUUCAUAUCAAGGUCGCCGGACUAUUUUUUUGGUAACCAAUGAUUAAUGUCGAUUGACUCUCUUUUCUGAUAGUUUGCUACUUUCUCUCUUUUUUUAACAUCAUCGAUUGACUCUCCCCCCUUUAAAAAAUCAUGCAUGAUGAAUGAAAAUAGUGUAAACUGAAAGGUGUAAGUGGAGCAUGCUUCACUAACUCUUGUUUCACUUUUCUUUCUUCAGACUCUAGAAAACUGGUGUUGUGUGCCAAUAAUUGCAGCUUCUAUAAAUCUGGUAUUUUGUGCCAAUAAUUGCAGCUUCCAUUUAUUCCAAAGUCAUGAAGAAUGACGCAGAAAGAUUCCAUUCUUUUAUGGCUUCUUACGGACUAUUGGGCUGAAGCCAAUUGUACAAUUCUUCAUGAAGCCAAUUGCCAUCAAUCCAAAAAAAUCUAUCUUGUGAAAAGGAGUAUAGCGAUAAUUGAAUCUGUCCAAAAAAAAAAAUCUAUCUUCACCUGAAAAGGAGUAGCUUGUGCUCAUCGAUGAUGUUUAAGUGUCGAGAAAGCAUAUGGAAUGUAUUUUUCAACCAUAUGAAUUCUUGUGUGAUGAGGUAACUGAUAUAGUAGAGUUUAUGAGCUUGCGAUGCCACACUUUUCGUGACUGUGUUAAUUUCAUGAACUUUGCUUUUUGGAUUAUUAAAUGUCACUUUGACAUCAAUAUU